UUGGCUAAAGCCAAAAAGAGGCUAAUCACUGUUACUGAUUUAAUUGGUCUCCCCUAGUCGUU
rnacentral:tRNA from 1 species